rnacentral:rRNA from 1 species
CGGCGAGUGAAGCGGCAACAGCUCAAAUUUGAAAUCUGGCCUCGGCCCGAGUUGUAAUUUGCAGAGGAUGCUUCUGGCGCGGUGCCUUCCGAGUUCCCUGGAACGGGACGCCACAGAGGGUGAGAGCCCCGUAUGGUCGGACACCAAGCCUGUGUGAAGCUCCUUCGACGAGUCGAGUAGUUUGGGAAUGCUGCUCUAAAUGGGAGGUAAAUCUCUUCUAAAGCUAAAUACCGGCCAGAGACCGAUAGCGCACAAGUAGAGUGAUCGAAAGAUGAAAAGCACCUUGAAAAGGGGGUUAAAUAGUACGUGAAAUUGUUGAAAGGGAAGCACUUGUGACCAGACUUGGGCCGGGCGGCUCAUCAGGGGUUCUCCCCUGUGCACUCCGCCCGGCACAGGCCAGCAUCGGUUCUCGUGGGGGGAUAAGACCGUCAGGAACGUAGCACCCUCCGGGGUGUGUUAUAGCCUGGCGGACGAUACCCCCGUGGGGACCGAGGUUCGCGCUCCGCAAGGAUGCUGGCGUAAUGGUCACCAACGUG